AGGACGAACGCUGGCGGCGUGCUUAACACAUGCAAGUCGAGCGGAAAGGCCCUUCGGGGUACUCGAGCGGCGAACGGGUGAGUAACACGUGAGUAAUCUGCCCCUAGCUCUGGGAUAGCUCCGGGAAACCGGGAUUAAUACCGGAUACGACCACCUUAGACAUCUUUUGUGGUGGAAAGAAUUUCGGCUAGGGAUGAGCUCGCGGCCUAUCAGCUUGUUGGUGGGGUAACGGCCUACCAAGGCGACGACGGGUAGCCGGCCUGAGAGGGCGACCGGCCACACUGGGACUGAGACACGGCCCAGACUCCUACGGGAGGCAGCAGUGGGGAAUAUUGCGCAAUGGGCGAAAGCCUGACGCAGCGACGCCGCGUGGGGAUGAAGGCCUUCGGGUUGUAAACCCCUUCAGCAGGGACGAAGCGAAAGUGACGGUACCUGCAGAAGAAGCGCCGGCUAACUACGCGCCAGCAGCCGC
rnacentral:rRNA from 1 species